GGAGGGCAUCUCCACGCCAUUUUGGCUAGAGAUAUCACCCAUGGCCUCCAAAGGAAGAAGAUAGGGCGAUUGGAUGGAGAAAUUUGAUUAAGGCUCAAUUUCUUGAAGUUCUUCAUUGCAUGAUCGAUUUUCGGUUCUUUUGAGUGUCAAAUAACUCCUAAGGUACGACAAACCUUGGAAGACAACGGGGCAAACUAGUGGAAAUAGUGAAGACUUCCUACGGGCAAAGAUGAGUGGUUAGUUCUUCUGUAAAGUGAAUGUUAAGUCACAUUGUUUACCUUGUUGAAUACUUUGUAUUCUAUUGGGGCUGUUGCUCAUUGGUUUGGGAAGUGUGAGUUGGCAAGAAAUGACUAUGCUAAUACAAAAUGAUGUGAAGAUCGUUUGCAAGUGGAUAUUCGGAAUGCAUGGACUAAGUUGAUCAUGGAUACUAUGAUUACAUAUUGAGUACCAAGCUACAUAUUUUGUGAGAAGACUAAGGACGGAUUUUAAAUGUGAUACCUUUAUCAAAUGUGGUAAAGAAUAAUUAAAUGAUCAAUGUAACUUGCUAUAAGAGAUAAAGGUUGGGUAUAUAUUUUCUUUCUUACAGUGGAAUACAUGUG